rnacentral:rRNA from 1 species
GACGAACGCUGGCGGCGUGCCUAACACAUGCAAGUCGAACGAGAUCCAUGGGAGCUUGCUCCCGGAAGAUCUAGUGGCGAACGGGUGAGUAACACGUGAGAAACCUGCCCUGGAGUGGGGAAUAACUCGGGGAAACUCGAGCUAAUACCGCAUACCCUCGGAUGGUCGCAUGGCCGACCGAGGAAAAGAUUUAUCGCUCUAGGAGGGUCUCGCGGCCUAUCAGCUAGUUGGUGGGGUAACGGCCUACCAAGGCAACGACGGGUAGCUGGUUUGAGAGAACGAUCAGCCACACUGGGACUGAGACACGGCCCAGACUCCUACGGGAGGCAGCAGUGGGGAAUCUUGCGCAAUGGGCGAAAGCCUGACGCAGCAACGCCGCGUGCGGGAUGACGGCCUUCGUGGUUGUAAACCGCUUCUAGCAGGGACG